rnacentral:rRNA from 1 species
GAGGAAUAUUGGACAAUGGAUGGAAAUCUGAUCCAGUCAUGCCGCGUGCAGGAAGACUGCCUUAUGGGUUGUAAACUGCUUUUAUACGGGAGCAAUAAGGGUUACGUGUAGCCUGAUGAGAGUACUGUAUGAAUAAGGAUCGGCUAACUCCGUGCCAGCAGCCGCGGUAAUACGGAGGAUCCGAGCGUUAUCCGGAAUUAUUGGGUUUAAAGGGUGCGUAGGCGGCCAUUUAAGUCAGCGGUGAAAUUUUGCAGCUUAACUGUAACAGUUCCGUUGAAACUGGGUGGCUAGGAUUUGGUUGCAGUGUGCGGAAUGUGUGGUGUAGCGAUGAAAUGCUUAGAUAUCACACAGAACACC